rnacentral:rRNA from 1 species
GACGAACGCUGGCGGCGUGCUUAACACAUGCAAGUCGAACGGAAAGGCCCUGCUUUUGUGGGGUGCUCGAGUGGCGAACGGGUGAGUAACACGUGAGUAACCUGCCCUUGACUUUGGGAUAACUUCAGGAAACUGGGGCUAAUACCGGAUAGGAGCUCCUGCUGCAUGGUGGGGGUUGGAAAGUUUCGGCGGUUGGGGAUGGACUCGCGGCUUAUGAGCUUGUUGGUGGGGUAGUGGCUUACCAAGGCUUUGACGGGUAGCCGGCCUGAGAGGGUGACCGGCCACAUUGGGACUGAGAUACGGCCCAGACUCCUACGGGAGGCAGCAGUGGGGAAUAUUGCACAAUGGGCGGAAGCCUGAUGCAGCAACGCCGCGUGCGGGAUGACGGCCUUCGGGUUGUAAACCGCUUUCGCCUGUGACGAAGCGUGGGUGACGGUAAUGGGUAAAGAAGCACCGGCUAACUACGUG